rnacentral:rRNA from 1 species
CUCGUAGGCGGCUUGUCGCGUCGGCUGUGAAAUCCCGUGGCUCAACUGUGGGCGGGCAGCUGAUACGGGCAGGCUGGAGUUCGGUAGGGGAGACUGGAAUUCCUGGUGUAGCGGUGAAAUGCGCAGAUAUCAGGAGGAACACCGAUGGCGAAGGCGGGUCUCUGGGCCGAUACUGACGCUGAGGAGCGAAAGCGUGGGGAGCGAACA